rnacentral:rRNA from 1 species
AAUAGAUACCCCGGUAGUCCACGCCGUAAACGGUGGGCGCUAGGUGUGGGGCACUUUCCACGUGCUCUGUGCCGCAGCUAACGCAUUAAGCGCCCCGCCUGGGGAGUACGGCCGCAAGGCUAAAAACUCAAAGGAAUUGACGGGGGGCCCGCACAAGCGGCGGAGCAUGCGGCUUAAUUCGAAGCAACGCGAAGAACCUUACCAAGGCUUGACAUAUAGGGAAAUCUCAUAGAGAUAUGAGGUCCGCAAGGGCCCUAUACAGGUGGUGCAUGGUUGUCGUCAGCUCGUGUCGUGAGAUGUUGGGUUAAGUCCCGCAACGAGCGCAACCCUCGUUCUAUGUUGCCAGCACGUAAUGGUGGGGACUCAUAGGAGACUGCCGGGGUCAACUCGGAGGAAGGUGGGGAUGACGUCAAAUCAUCAUGCCCCUUAUGUCUUGGGCUGCACGCAUGCUACAAUGGAUGGUACAGAGGGCUGCGAUACCGUAAGGUGGAGCGAAUCCCACAAAGCCAUUCUCAGUUCGGU